rnacentral:rRNA from 1 species
GUGACUGCGUACCUUUUGUAUAAUGGGUCAGCGACUUAUAUUCUGUAGCAAGGUUAACCGUAUAGGGGAGCCGGAGGGAAACCGAGUCUUAACCGGGCGUUAAGUUGCAGGGUAUAGACCCGAAACCCGGUGAUCUAGCCAUGGGCAGGUUGAAGGUUGGGUAACACUAACUGGAGGACCGAACCGACUAAUGUUGAAAAAUUAGCGGAUGACCUGUGGCUGGGGGUGAAAGGCCAAUCAAACCGGGAGAUAGCUGGUUCUCCCCGAAAGCUAUUUAGGUAGCGCCUCGUGAAUUCAUCUCCGGGGGUAGAGCACUGUUUCGGCUAGGGGGCCAUCCCGGCUUACCAACCCGAUGCAAACUGCGAAUACCGGAGAAUGUUAUCACGGGAGACACACGGCGGGUGCUAACGUCCGUCGUGAAGAGGGAAACAACCCAGACCGCCAGCUAAGGUCCCAAAGUCAUGGUUAAGUGGGAAACGAUGUGGGAAGGCCCAGACAGCCAGGAUGUUGGCUUAGAAGCAGCCAUCAUUUAAAGAAAGCGUAAUAGCUCACUGGUCGAGUCGGCCUGCGCGGAAGAUGUAACGGGGCUAAACCAUGCACCGAAGCUGCGGCAGCGAACGUAUCACCCAAGACAACUUUACGGAGUUGACGAUUGACGGAGCGAAGCGACGUCAAAGCGUUCAUUAAAGUCGAGUUGGCUUAGGGAUACGUUCGUUGGGUAGGGGAGCGUUCUGUAAGCCUGUGAAGGUGUGUCGUGAGGCAUGCUGGAGGUAUCAGAAGUGCGAAUGCUGACAUAAGUAACGAUAAAGCGGGUGAAAAGCCCGCUCGCCGGAAGACCAAGGGUUCCUGUCCAACGUUAAUCGGGGCAGGGUGAGUCGACCCCUAAGGCGAGGCCGAAAGGCGUAGUCGAUGGGAAACGGGUUAAUAUUCCCGUACUUGGUGUUACUGCGAAGGGGGGACGGAGAAGGCUAUGUUGGCCGGGCGACGGUUGUCCCGGUUUAAGCGUGUAGGUGUGUGUUCCAGGUAAAUCCGGUUCACUUUAACACUGAGGCGUGACGACGAGGCACUACGGUGCUGAAGCAACAAAUGCCCUGCUUCCAGGAAAAGCCUCUAAGCAUCAGGUAACAUCAAAUCGUACCCCAAACCGACACAGGUGGUCAGGUAGAGAAUACCAAGGCGCUUGAGAGAACUCGGGUGAAGGAACUAGGCAAAAUGGUGCCGUAACUUCGGGAGAAGGCACGCUGACACGUAGGUGAAGUGAUUUACUCAUGGAGCUGAAGUCAGUCGAAGAUACCAGCUGGCUGCAACUGUUUAUUAAAAACACAGCACUGUGCAAACACGAAAGUGGACGUAUACGGUGUGACGCCUGCCCGGUGCCGGAAGGUUAAUUGAUGGGGUCAGCGCAAGCGAAGCUCCUGAUCGAAGCCCCGGUAAACGGCGGCCGUAACUAUAACGGUCCUAAGGUAGCGAAAUUCCUUGUCGGGUAAGUUCCGACCUGCACGAAUGGCGUAAUGAUGGCCAGGCUGUCUCCACCCGAGACUCAGUGAAAUUGAACUCGCUGUGAAGAUGCAGUGUACCCGCGGCAAGACGGAAAGACCCCGUGAACCUUUACUAUAGCUUGACACUGAACAUUGAGCCUUGAUGUGUAGGAUAGGUGGGAGGCUUUGAAGUGUGGACGCCAGUCUGCAUGGAGCCGACCUUGAAAUACCACCCUUUAAUGUUUGAUGUUCUAACGUGGACCCGUAAUCCGGGUUGCGGACAGUGUCUGGUGGGUAGUUUGACUGGGGCGGUCUCCUCCUAAAGAGUAACGGAGGAGCACGAAGGUUGGCUAAUCCUGGUCGGACAUCAGGAGGUUAGUGCAAUGGCAUAAGCCAGCUUGACUGCGAGCGUGACGGCGCGAGCAGGUGCGAAAGCAGGUCAUAGUGAUCCGGUGGUUCUGAAUGGAAGGGCCAUCGCUCAACGGAUAAAAGGUACUCCGGGGAUAACAGGCUGAUACCGCCCAAGAGUUCAUAUCGACGGCGGUGUUUGGCACCUCGAUGUCGGCUCAUCACAUCCUGGGGCUGAAGUAGGUCCCAAGGGUAUGGCUGUUCGCCAUUUAAAGUGGUACGCGAGCUGGGUUUAGAACGUCGUGAGACAGUUCGGUCCCUAUCUGCCGUGGGCGCUGGAGAACUGAGGGGGGCUGCUCCUAGUACGAGAGGACCGGAGUGGACGCAUCACUGGUGUUCGGGUUGUCAUGCCAAUGGCACUGCCCGGUAGCUAAAUGCGGAAGAGAUAAGUGCUGAAAGCAUCUAAGCACGAAACUUGCCCCGAGAUGAGUUCUCCCUGAGACUUAGAGUCUCCUGAAGGAACGUUGAAGACGACGACGUUGAUAGGCCGGGUGUGUAAGCGCAGCGAUGCGUUGAGCUAACCGGUACUAAUGAACCGUGAGGCUUAACCUU